rnacentral:tRNA from 1 species
GUACCCGUAGCUCAGCUGGAUAGAGUGCCUGGCUACGGACCAGGAGGUCGGGGGUUCGAAUCCCUCCGGGUACGCCA